rnacentral:rRNA from 1 species
AAAGCGCGCGUAGGUGGUUUGUUAAGUUGGAUGUGAAAUCCCCGGGCUCAACCUGGGAACUGCAUUCAAAACUGACUGACUAGAGUAUGGUAGAGGGUGGUGGAAUUUCCUGUGUAGCGGUGAAAUGCGUAGAUAUAGGAAGGAACACCAGUGGCGAAGGCGACCACCUGGACUGAUACUGACACUGAGGUGCGAAAGCGUGGGGAGCAAACAGGAUUAGAUACCCCGGU